rnacentral:lncRNA from 1 species
GCACUGGGACACCGCUGCUGCUGCUGCACCGGGGGGGUUGAGGAAGGCCGCUCCCUCCUCAGGCUGAUUCCACCUGGCCCAGGGGGCGGGGCCCAGACUGACUCACCACCGCCACAGCUUAAGAGGCCUCAUGAGGCACUGGGACACCGCUGCUGCUGCUGCACCGUAGGUGUUGAGGAAGGCCGCUCCCUCCUCAGGCUGAUUCCACCUGGCCCAGGGGGCGGGGCCCAGACUGACUCACCACCGCCACAGCUUAAGAGGCCUCAUGAGGCACUGGGACACCGCUGCUGCUGCUGCACCAGGGGGGUUGAGGAAGGCCGCUCCCUCCUCAGGCUGAUUCCACCUGGCCCAGGGGGCGGGGCCCAGACUGACUCACCACCGCCACAGCUUAAGAGGCCUCAUGAGGCACUGGGACACCGCUGCUGCUGCUGCACCGGGGGUUGAGGAAGGCCGCUCCCUCCUCAGGCUGAUUCCACCUGGCCCAGGGGGCGGGGCCCAGACUGACUCACCACCGCCACAGCUUAAGAGGCCUCAUGAGGCACUGGGACACCGCUGCUGCUGCUGCACCGGGGGUUGAGGAAGGCCGCUCCUCCUCAGGCUGAUUCCACCUGGCCCAGGGGGCGGGGCCCAGACUGACUCACCACCGCCACAGCUUAAGAGGCCUCAUGAGGCACUGGGACACCGCUGCUGCUGCUGCACCGGGGGUUGAGGAAGGCCGCUCCCUCCUCAGGCUGAUUCCACCUGGCCCAGGGGGCGGGGCCCAGACUGACUCACCACCGCCACAGCUUAAGAGGCCUCAUGAGGCACUGGGACACCGCUGCUGCUGCUGCACCAGGGGGGUUGAGGAAGGCCGCUCCCUUCUCAGGCUGAUUCCACCUGGCCCAGGGGGCGGGGCCCAGACUGACUCACCACCGCCACAGCUUAAGAGGCCUCAUGAGGCACUGGGACACCGCUGCUGCUGCUGCACCGGGGGUUGAGGAAGGCCGCUCCCUCCUCAGGCUGAUUCCACCUGGCCCAGGGGGCGGAGCCCAGACUGACUCACCACCGCCACAGCUUAAGAGGCCUCAUGAGGCACUGGGACACCGCUGAUGCUGCUGCUCUGUGUGUUGGGGAAGGCCGCUCCCUCCUCAGGCUGAUUCCACCUGGCCCAGGGGGCGGGGCCCAGACUGACUCACCACCGCCACAGCUUAAGAGGCCUCAUGAGGCACUGGGACACCGCUGAUGCUGCUGCACCGUGGGGGUUGAGGAAGGCCGCUCCCUCCUCAGGCUGAUUCCACCUGGCCCAGGGGGCGGGGCCCAGACUGACUCACCACCGCCACAGCUUAAGAGGCCUCAUGAGGCACUGGGACACCCCUGCAGCUGCAGCACUGGGGGUUGAGGAAGGCCGCUCCCUUCUCAGGCUGAUUCCACCUGGCCCAGGGGGCGGGGCCCAGACUGACUCACCACCGCCACAGCUUAAGAGGCCUCAUGAGGCACUGGGACACCGCUGCUGCUGCUGCACCGGGGGGGUUGAGGAAGGCCGCUCCCUUCUCAGGCUGAUUCCACCUGGCCCAGGGGGCGGGGCCCAGACUGACUCACCACCGCCACAGCUUAAGAGGCCUCAUGAGGCACUGGGACACCGCUGCUGCUGCUGCACCAGGGGUUGAGGAAGGCCGCUCCUUCUCAGGCUGAUUCCACCUGGCCCAGGGGGCGGGGCCCAGACUGACUCACCACCGCCACAGCUUAAGAGGCCUCAUGAGGCACUGGGACACCGCUGCUGCUGCUGCACCAUGGGGGGUUGAGGAAGGCCGCUCCCUUCUCAGGCUGAUUCCACCUGGCCCAGGGGGCGGGGCCCAGACUGACUCACCACCGCCACAGCUUAAGAGGCCUCAUGAGGCACUGGGACACCGCUGCUGCUGCUGCACCGGGGGGGUUGAGGAAGGCCGCUCCCUUCUCAGGCUGAUUCCACCUGGCCCAGGGGGCGGGGCCCAGACUGACUCACCACCGCCACAGCUUAAGAGGCCUCAUGAGGCACUGGGACACCGCUGCUGCUGCUGCACCGGGGGGGUUGAGGAAGGCCGCUCCCUCCUGUAGGCCCACUCCACCAGGCCUAGGGGGCGGGGCCCACACUCGCCACUGCUACAGCUUUAAGGACACUGGUGUUGCUGCAGCAAAUGUUAAAAAUGUUUUAUAUAUUCUAAAGGGUUUUAAAGGGGUUUUUACUUUUUACUUUGUUGUACCACCGUGAACGGUGGUUUGUAUUGAUGUAUUUUUAUUUUGUUCCAUUUUAUGUUGGUUUGGGGUUGGAUAGUGAGUGGGGUGGGGAUUUGUUUUGUUUUGGUACAAUUGUUUUUGGUUUGCUUUGUUUUUCUAUUUUGUAAAUGGAGGUUGGUUUGAGGCUUGGGAUUGCUACCGUAGUGGGGCGAGGGAGGUAUGGCGGUGGGGGCAGAUGUCAUAGGCGAAGGGGAUCGAGAUACGGAUAUGCUCAUACCCCUUCCAAUCUGCGCCCCAUCCCGAGGGACGAGGGUAGGGUGAGCAAGGAUUACUCACCUCCGUCACUGGUGUUGUGCAAUGCCAGGUCUAUAGGCAACAAAACCGCCACCCUGCGAGACUUCUUCACCUCGCAGGGGGUUGACCUGGCUUGUGUGACAGAGACCUGGGUGCGCGAAGGAGAAACUGUUACCUUACGAGAGAUGGCACCCCCGGGUUUCUCCGUCCUCCACCAGUCGCGGACUGUGGGCCGGGGGGGAGGGGUGGCAUUAUUAAUCCGGGAAGAUUGUUCUUUCAGGGCUCUACCAUCGCCAUCGAUCCCCGGCAUUGAAUGUGUUGGCCUAGUGUGGGGCUCCGAGGUGAGUUUGGCUGUCUGGCUGAUGUACCGGCCACCUAGCGCACCAGCAGCCACCCUGUCAGGCCUGCUGGAGGCGGUGGCCGGCUGAGCCUUGGAGUUCCCUAACCUAUUGGUAUUGGGGGACUUCAACAUCCAUGCUGAUGCCACUCCCUCCUCACAGGCUCUGGACCUGGUGUCUUCCAUGGCGACACUAGGGCUCUCCCAGUUUGUUUCGGGCCCCACACAUCAAGCAGGCCACACGCUGGAUUUGAUCUUUGGCGCCGGUAUAGAUGUGAUCAUGUCUCCUUCGAUGAAGGUGCCAUGGUCUGAUCACUACGCUCUGAAAGCCAGGAUUGAUUUUCCACCCCCACCCUGCUUAGGUGGCGAGCCAAUUUGGGCUCGCCCGCAGAGGCUGAUGGACCCUAAUAGAUUCCGUCAGGCCUUGCGGGACCUUGCUUUCCCUGGCGACUCAUUGACUGAGCUUGUUGAGGGCUGGAAUAUCCAGCUCCUAGCAGCCAUCGAUGAGAUCGCACCUAGGCGCCCUCUGCGACCCCGCAGAAACCGGGCUCCCUGGUUUACCGAGGAGCUUCGGAAAAUGAAGCGGGACCUCAGACGGCUAGAGCGAGUAUGGCGGGGUGCCCGUGACGGAGCCUCAAGAACAUCUUAUAGGGUUUUUAUGAAAACCUACGAGAUGGCAGUGAAGGCCGCUAAGAAGUCCUACUUCUCGGCCUCCAUUGCCUCUGCUAGCUCUCGCCCGGCGCAAUUAUUUAGUAUAAUUAGGUCUUUAACGUCCCUUGAAGGACAGCCAAAUUUAAAUAACAAUUUGACACACAGCUGUGAGGCAUUUGCGAGCUUUUUUGCGGAGAAGGUCCUGUUGCUCCGCCAUGACCUCCCUGCCAAUUUGGAUACAAUAAAGGAACUGGAGGCCCCUCGACUGUCCUCGGGUCCAGUAUUGGACCACUUUGACUGGAUAUCCCCAGCCGAUGUGGACAGACUCCUCCAAGCUGGAAAGCCCACCAUCUGUCCUCUUGACCCGUGCCCGUCUUGGCUGAUUAGAGCGUGCCCAGACGAGGUGCGGGCCCCCCUGGGUGAUAUCAUCAAUUUGUCCCUUGGCACCGGGAUAUUCCCAGGGGAACUGAAGGAAGCAGUGGUGCGUCAAAUCAGAAACUGGGAUGGCUUUUCUAAAUCAGGGACAUCCCUGGAAAAUAGGGACACUUGUGGAGUCUGCACUUAAUGAAUUCCUUGCAUGGUAGAGACAAGAUUUAACCAUGGGGCCUCCUGCUUCUCUAGUCAGUUUCUUAGAGUACAGUUCACUGGGGCUUCUUCUCAGGUAAUUCUUUAGGAUCACAGUCUUAGGUACUAUGUUGGAGCACCCAAUAGUUAAUACCACCUUGUAUCUGUGUGAAAUAUACUCAGAGUCAACAGUGGAUUUCAUGCUCUUUAUUCAGCUCAUAGUGGUGAGGAGGAAUGAAAGCUUCCCCAAAGUAUCUGCUUUAUAUACCGUAUAUUAUUUACACAAUGGGCUGCACGUGAUUGGCUAAUUCCAGAAUUCUCCUGUAGGCCAAUCAGGUUGUAGAUUCACUUCCAUCUGGAGCUGGAUUGGGUGGCUCCUGCAGACCAAUCAUAUUGCUGCAUUGUUCUAGGACCAAUCAGACUGCUGCAUUUUGGAUCCUAUUGUUCUAGGACCAAUCAGACUGCUGCAUUUUGGAUCCUAUUGUUCUAGGACCAAUCAGACUGCUGCAUUUUGCAUCCUAUUCAACUCAGUACAUAACACCGUGUCUUCCGUUAUUAGCUCAACGUCUGCUCCCACAUGGAAAACUGUGUGUGGUUCCAAUUUAGUAAACUUGUCCAAACAAAUGCCCAAAUCUGCAACAUUGAAGCAUGUGAGUUUCAAGCUAAUGGUCACUAAAACCUAAACAGAGAUUUUUCUCGUAGAAUUUGAAACGAGUGUGUGUGUAUGUAUUUAAUUCUGCCUUGGCACAGGGGUCUCGUGAAUCCCAAUAGCUGAGGAAGCCCUGACCCUGGAUCAAGCAAACCCAGAGAAUCUCACUUGUGGGAACCAGCGAACAUUGUCUGGGAUGUGCUGAUUGCUAAUUGCCAGCUUAAUCCUUCCGCUGUGUCAAAGCUGGGGCACUGCCAACUGACACAGCACAGCUGAAAGAGCUGGUGUUGUGUUUAACUGGAUUAAUGAUUGUACAAUUACAAGUCUCCCUUAAAUGCUCUUCUACAAUUAGAGCUCAUGAUAUCUUUGCAACCUGGCAGGCUUCUAAAAACAUAAUUACAGGCCACCAGCAUUAUUUGUAUUUAACUUGAGGCUGCAAGAGGAGGGGAGGGGGGGAAUUACUGGGAGCAGAAAGUUGCUGCAUAGUUACAAGUUGCCGAAUCGACCUUGGUCAAGGAAAGUGUCUGUCACAAUUUAGUUUUUCCCUCAUGCACUGGGUUUUCUUUGCUAUUGGGGGCAGGGUUAGGAGGAAGACAGCAACAUAUCAAAGGCAACACAGAGGAGGAAAAAGAG